UAAACUAGGAUUAGAUACCCUAUUAUUUUAAAUAUAAAUAAAAAUAAAACUAGAGUAGUAAUAGUUAAGAUCUUGAAACUCAAAGAAUCUGGCGGUGCUUUAGUCUAUUCAGAGGAAUCUGUCCCGUAAUCGAUAAUUCACGAUUAACUUUACUUAUUCUUGUUAUUCAAUUUGUAUACCGCCGUCAUCAGAAUAUUUUUUAAGAAAAUAAAUUUUCUAUACUUUUAAUUAAAUUAUAUGUCAGGUCAAGGUGCAGUUUAUGAAUAAGAGGAGAUGGAUUACAAUAAAUAUAUUUAUUAUGAAUAAAGAAUUGAAAAUGUUUUUUGAAGGUGGAUUUGAAAGUAAUUUUAUUUUAAUGGUAAAUUGAUUUUAGCUCUAAAGCAUGUACACAUCGCCCGUCGCUCUUAUA
rnacentral:rRNA from 1 species